GGCUCCUCCCAUUCCCGGGUCUUGUCUGAAUGCUGCAUGUUCGAGACGCUGGCAGCGGCGUUUGCAGAAGGGGCUGAGAUCGACCCUGCUCUCUCUCCUUCCCCGGGCCUUUCUGGCGUUGGGAGGAAAAAUCCAUCUGGUUUAGUUCCAAGCCGGAAGAAAGACGCUGGAAUCCAAAUGGACGCUGAUUGAAAAGAAGGUCCCAUUUAUUGGUGAACAGAAAGCUACCAGGGUUUUUGUGGUUUUGGUACAGCUGACAAAACGGGAGUUUUUUAAGAUGGGUGGGUUUUUACACCUUCUGGAUCAUGGCUGGCUCUAUAGGCUAAACUUUUAUUACCCUUGCCGGCGUACAAGAUUGUGACAAAAGAUUUACCUGAAAGACAACUAUCAACAUAAUAGAAAUUCAGCCCAAGGCAGCAGCCGCCAGAAAGGAUGGAGCCUGGGAAAUUCUUGGAUACCCCAUUAGACACAAGCAGCACUUCAAAAAACCACGAAAAACCACACGAAUGCUCAGAGUGUGGGAAAUCCUUUGCUGGCCGGUCCCUCCUUUUGACCCACAGGAAGAUCCAUGUGGGAAGUGGAUCCAGUCAAGGUUUGGAGUGUGAGGAAGCCUCCCCUGGAGAAAAUUCCAAAGAUCUCAGGAGCCCCCCUAGACUAAAGCCCUUUAAAUGUGAUGAAUGCGAUUUAUGCUUUGGUCGAUCGUCAUACCUUCUUACCCAUCAGAAAAUCCACACUGGAGAGAAACCUUAUCAAUGUCUGGAAUGUGGGACGUUUUUCCGUGAAAAAGCCACUCUCAUAAAGCACGAGAGAACUCACACAGGGGAGAAACCUUACAAGUGUUCGGAAUGUGGGAAGAGCUUUUCUCAUAAGGCAAAUCUUUGUGUCCAUGAACAGAUUCAUGCAGGAAUCAAACCUCACAAAUGCUUGGAGUGUGGAAAAUGUUUCACACAGAUUUCAUCUCUCCGGAGUCAUGAGAAAACACACAGAGGGGAGAAAAAUGAAAAGUGCCUUGAAUGCGGGAAAUGUUUUAUCUUGAAAUCAAACCUGCUGCAACAUCAGAGACUCCACACCGGGAUGAGACCCUAUGAAUGCACAGAAUGUGAGAAACGAUUUCUAACAUCUUCUGAUCUCCGGAAACAUCAAAUAGGGCACCAAGAUGAGAAACCGUAUAAAUGUGGGGAGUGUGGGAAAGGUUUUCUUGAACGAAGGAAACUUGAGAGUCAUGAGAGAAUCCAUACAGGGGAGAAGCCAUUCAAAUGUGUGGAGUGUGGGAUGUGCUUUUCCCAAAAACACCAUGUUGCAAGGCAUCAGAGCGUCCAUACAGGAGAGAAGCCAUACAGAUGUGGAGAAUGUGGAAAAUGUUUUGCUCAAAAGGGAUAUCUUUCAGUACAUUAUAAAACCCACACAGGGGAGAAGCCAUAUCAAUGCAACAAAUGUGGACAAUUUUAUCGUACUGCAUCAACUCUCAGAAAACAUGCAAAAAUUCAUAGAGAACAAAAUUUCAAAUGUUUAUAGAGUGUGAGAGAACAUUUGCUGAUUAAUCUUCCCUUAGAAGUCACAGCCAAAUCCCUAUAGGAGAGAAGCCCUAGUCUUAAUCACAUAAAUUUAAGCAUAAUUUUCAAGAAGAACCUCCCCCUAUGACUGAAGAGAAAACUUUUUGAUCAGUGUGUGCUAGUCAAAUCAAUUUUUUCUUGUUAACUUAUUUUUGUUUCCAUUUUUGGAUAUAAAGUUUAUUGUUUCAGGAAAUGUUUCCUGAUAUUCCUGAUAAAAUAGCUUCCAAUUUUAUUACUAUUGCUUUAUAAUUAUUUUGUUUAGUUGUUAUGCACUGAGAGAACUCAACCAAUCUCAUUGUACAUAUGUUGUGCACUGACAAUAAAGAUUUGAAAAAUUAUAUAUUUACGUUGUUAGCUAUUUUUGUCCAUUGGAUCUGGAUCUUUGUUGAUCAAUAGGAGAGCUGAAGAUUUAAAGAUAAGUUUGUAAAAAAUGGGAUCAGAUAUACAAUGAAGAUGCCCCUGUUUAUAAUUGGAGAGAGUGAUAAAUCAGACACUCAGGAUUAAUUGGAGUACAGGUAAUUUAGCACGUACAUUGCAGGUGUGUAACUUUGAAUUGCGUAAUAUUCAGAUUAGUGUGAAUUUUAAAUGGAUACCAAGUUGAUUAUCAUGUGACUCAAAAUUCAUUUAAUGUUAGGUUACAAUAUGUGCAAUUAAGGUUACCAUAUGUACAGUUGUUUUAUCUAUAAAUUUAAAUUUUUGAAGCACAUUCUUGUUCUUCUUUACUGUGAUAUUUCAUUAUUAUUCAUAUAUCAUAUUGUAUUCAAUGUUUUUCUUGCCUAUUGCCAUCAAUCCAGAAACAAUUACCUUAUUUUCCAUCGAGAUAUCACUUCAAAUAGUACAUGUAGUCCUUGAUUUAGGACCACAAUUGAGCCACAAAAUGUAGGUUGCUAAGUGAAACAUUUUUAUGUGAAUUUUGCUCAUUUUUACGACUAUUGUUCCCACUCUUGUUAAGUGAACCAUAGCAAGUGUUUAGUUAGUAACACGGUUGUUAAGUGAAUUUGGCUUCCCCAUUGACUUUGCUUGUCAGAAGGUCACAAAAGGGGAUCACAUAACCCUGGGACACAGAGGUGGGUUUCAGUAGGUUCUGAUCAGUUCUGGAGAACCGGUAACAGAAAUUUUGAGUAGUUUGGAGAACUGGUAAAUACCACCUCUGGCUGGCCCCAUCCCCAUCUAUUCUCUGCCUCCCGAGUCCCAGCUGAUCGGGAAGAAAUGGAGAUUUUACAAUAUCCUUUCCCUGCCACACCCACCAAGCCACACCCACAGAACCGGUAGUAAAAAAAUUUUUGAAACCCACCACUGCCGGGACAUUGUGACCGUCAUAAAUAUGAAACAGUUGCCAAGUAUCUGAAUUUUGAUCAUGUGACCAUGG